rnacentral:rRNA from 1 species
AGAGUUUGAUCCUGGCUCAGAUUGAACGCUGAUGCCUUACACAUGCAAGUCGAACGGCAGCACGGGAGCUUGCUCCUGGUGGCGAGUGGCGAACGGGUGAGUAAUACAUCGGAACGUGCCCAGUAGUGGGGGAUAGCCCGGCGAAAGCCGGAUUAAUACCGCAUACGACCUACGGGUGAAAGCGGGGGACCGAAGGCCUCGCGCUAUUGGAGCGGCCGAUGUCUGAUUAGCUUGUUGGUGGGGUAAAAGCCCACCAAGGCGACGAUCAGUAGCUGGUCUGAGAGGACGAUCAGCCACACUGGGACUGCCCACCAAGGCGACGAUCAGUAGCUGGUCUGAGAGGACGAUCAGCCACACUGGGACUGCCCACCAAGGCGACGAUCAGUAGCUGGUCUGAGAGGACGAUCAGCCACACUGGGACUGAACACGGCCCAGACUCCUACGGGAGGCAGCAGUGGGGAAUUUUGGACAAUGGGGGCAACCCUGAUCCAGCAAUGCCGCGUGUGCGAAGAAGGCCUUCGGGUUGUAAAGCACUUUUGUCAGGGAAGAAAUCUUUCAGGCUAAUACCCUUGGAAGGAUGACGGUACCUGAAGAAUAAGCACCGGCUAACUACGUGCCAGCAGCCGCGGUAAUACGUAGGGUGCAAGCGUUAAUCGGAAUUACUGGGCGUAAAGCGUGCGCAGGCGGUUUGCUAAGACAGUUGUGAAAUCCCCGGGCUUAACCUGGGAACUGCAAUUGUGACUGGCAAGCUAGAGUACGGCAGAGGGGGGUGGAAUUCCUGGUGUAGCAGUGAAAUGCGUAGAGAUCAGGAGGAACACCGAUGGCGAAGGCAGCCCCCUGGGCUAGUACUGACGCUCAUGCACGAAAGCGUGGGGAGCAAACAGGAUUAGAUACCCUGUAGUCCACGCCCUAAACGAUGUCAAUUAGUUGUUGGUCCUUUAUUGGAUCAGUAACGAAGCUAACGCGUGAAAUUGACCGCCUGGGGAGUACGGUCGCAAGAAUUAAAACUCAAAGGAAUUGACGGGAACCCGCACAAGCGGUGGAUGAUGUGAAUUAAUUCGAUGCAACGCGAAAA